CCCCGCUUAGCUCAGUUGGAAGAGCAUAUGACUGUAAUUUAAUCGAUAUCAUGGGGUCGCCUGUUCAAUCCAGGCAGCGGGGA
rfam:Protomyces lactucaedebilis strain 12-1054 BCR37scaffold_12, whole genome shotgun sequence.